rnacentral:rRNA from 1 species
AUGCGUAGCUCUAUAGCGACCUAUCGGGAGAGCCUCUCCCGGCUCGCUGGCGAGGUCGACGACGCCACGGCAGACGAGAUCCCCGCGCCGUGGCCAUCUCGGCGCGGAGACCACGCCCCUACGCCUCCGUCGUCCGGGCGGCGGAGGCGGUACACCCGCCCGGACCCCGCCGAGCCGGACGAGGAGCAACUGGUAAAACUUCGUGAAGAAAAUGGCUCAUUGAGAAGAAGUAUGGAGAGCUCUAACUAUAAGGCAGUCUCAGGCAAUUCUAAUGGUACUUUGCAAAGAUCACCUAGCAGAAUGCAAAGGAACACAGAUCAAGAAAAAACAUCGAGUGUCUUAAAACAGAAUGGGUAUGGUGGUGGUGCUUCACAGGUUAUACAGAAAAAUGGUCCGCACCCAUUGCCAGUGCAUUAUAAGGGAGAUGCACUGGUGGAAGAAAGAGCAUAUUUUGCUUCUAAACAGGCUAGUCUUGAAAAUGAAAUUAAACAAUUGAAACAGCAACUAAGGUGCUAUUCAAACAAAGAAGAUGAUACAACACGGAGGUUAGAAGAUGAAAACAAGAGGAACGAAUUUCUUCAGCAGCAGCUAAAUGAACUGAAGGUCGAUAAGGAGAUGGUAGCAACUACCAUGGAAGAGUUACAUAAGGAAUUAAGUGAGAAGAAAGCAGAGUUGAGAUGCCUGCAAGAUGAGUUGAGUACAAGGGACAAUGAGCGUGCAUCAGAUGGAUCUCUUCAGAGCCUUCGAAGUAUGGUGAUGGCUCUACAGAAGGAGAAUUCAGAUUUGAAGAUAGCGAAGGGCAGCCUUUACGAAGAGCUUGUUAAUAUGGAAAGCACAACACAAAAAGUUGACAAUAGUACUUCUGAUGUUGACAAUUUUUCUGAUGUGGAGAAGGUCAAGGACGAGAUGGCUUCAUUGAAGAAAGCUUUACAGGGUGCUUUUCACGAGCGAGACAGAGCAUUACAAAAUUUGUCUCGGCUGAAGCAGCAUUUGUUAGAUAAGGACCUUGAAGACCAAGAAAAGAUGGAUGAAGAUAGCAAAGUCAUUGAAGAGUUGCGGGCAAUCUGUGAGCAGCAAAGAGCUCAUAUAGUGCAGUUAGAGAGGGCAUUAAAGGUUGAGAUGACAAAGCAGGAGGAGAGUAAGAAGACCAUAAAUGAUGAACGCUCGAGGUCAAAUGAACAGAUAGAAGAUCUGCAAUACAAGCUUGCAAACUGUAUGAAUGCACUUGAAUCAAAAGAUCAGGAACUGCUUAAUCUGCAGAGUGCCCUUGGACAGUACUAUGCCGAGAGUGAAGCAAAGGAGCGACUUGGGGAUGAUUUAGCUAUGGCUAGAGAAGCAUUGGCUAAAUUAUCUGAGUCACUGAAGGUGGCAAAUCAAGGAAUUGAAAUUUCAAGAAGGGAAAAGGACGAGGUAGUUGCCAAACUUUCUCAAGCCGAGAAGAUGUUAGCGGAUGGGAAGCGCUCCCUGCAGAAGCUUGAGGAUGACAAUUCAAGAUUAAGGCAUGCGCUAGAACAAAGCAUGACAACAGUCAAUAGGAUGUCACUUGAUUCAGAUAACUCUGUUGACAGACGAAUUGUGAUCAAACUACUAGUUACAUACUUCCAACGGAAUCACAGCAAAGAGGUAUUGGAUCUUAUGGUUCGCAUGCUUGGCUUCUCCGAGGAGGACAAGCAAAGAAUUGGUUCUGCACAGAGCAAUGUUGGUAAGGUUGUUGUCCGCGGUGUUUUGGGUCUUCCUGGGCGUCUAGUUGGAGGACUUGUUGGUGGAAAUUCAGCAGGAAAAUCUACACAUGCACCCCAGGAUAACCAGUCCUUUGCAGAUCUCUGGGUGGACUUUCUACUCAAGGAGACAGAAGAACGGGAGAAACAAAAAGCUUCGGAAGCCGCUGCAAGGCUUUCACACGAAGAGAACCAAACUACCAGUAGGAGUGCAUCAAAUUUACAAGCGUCACAGCACAUUGCAAAUCCUGGCCUUUCCACAAAGCCACAUCAGUUUGAUCGCCCAGAUUCCGAUGAAUUCCGUAUGGUUCCACUUGCGCCCAUGUAUACAUCCAUGCAGACGCCAUUAAAAUGA